CUCUGAAUCAAUGCCAUUUUGCCUGAUAAACGAUGCCGUUUACCAUCAGUAUUUUCUCAGUUCCUUAGACAUGCCAUCCAUCUAGAUAAAUUAUGAUUGGAAAAUGAUGUUGGAGCAUCAGAAAUUCAAGGACUUGAUACUUCCCAUCAAAAGGACUACAGGAAUUGAAAUACGUGUCAUACCGUUAAAUUAAUUUCUAUGCGUGGGUCUUUAAUUGUUUGCCAGAGAAGGGAGUCAGCAUGUGAUGUCGUCCGUCGCUAAAGAAAUAUUGCUUGGGCAGGAACAUUUUCGAUCUAUCCCAACGUUUAUAAUAGGGCAAAAAAAAAUAUACUUCUAGAUAUUGACUGAAAUGACCACUGCUGAACAAGAAAUAUCUGAAGCCUUCAAGCGGUUAUUGGAAUUUGGACCCUUUUAAAAUUAAAUUAUGAACGGAGAUCCAACAGAUUUAAUUGAUAGUUCUUAAAAGGCUUGAAAUACCAAUUUCAAAAUGCAUCAUCUUUAGUACUCACAAAUUAUAGAACUUAAACCCAAUCUGCACAGUGGAUUGAAAGCGAACGAAACGCUUAUAAUCUCUCCUUAUUCCAGACAAGUGGCUUCUAAGUGACGAGGUCAGAGUUAUGUUGGUUUAAAAUGUGUAAUCUGUGAUAAGAAAAUCAUGGUGAUUUCUUCUGAUACUGUUGUCAAUAAAGGAACAAAUGUGAAUUCAAAUGAUUUUUGGAGCCAUGCUAGCAAGAGCUUACGAGAUAACAUCCAUUUUCACCACUUUACUUAUGCAUAAAUAGUGAAGCAGAACAUCUCGUAAAUCAACAUCAUAUGCAUCUGACACUACAGCAACAUACAGUGCGAAGAAGUCGACUGAUGACAUUAAUUUGAACAGCAGCAUAACGGUGCUUCCCUCUGCGGAAUGAAUGAAUGAUCUUUAUAGUUCCAGCUACAAAUUCUAUGUAUAGAAAAUAUCUGGAUGCCCAGAAAAGAAUGGUGCGAUAGU